rnacentral:lncRNA from 1 species
UUCCUGUGCUCGUUGAUGAGGUGAUCGGAUUUUGAUCUCUUGCUGCUGCCUGCUGGGUAAAAGCUGUAGCAUUGAUGAAGAGAAAAGACCAAGCCCCUUGGAGACAGUUUUCUGGAGUUUAACACAUCACUGGCAAUUGGCAUUGCUGACAACACAGCUCACUCGUACUACAAUUACGGCCAAGAUUUGGACUCUAGAACUGUGCAUAUCUGUUCUACUCGUUAGUCUUCUGCUGCUGGUUGAACAGUGAUACGCUCCAUGCUGUGACAUGCUCAACCUCUCUCAUCACUUUAUUAUCUUGUCUGUU